rnacentral:misc_RNA from 1 species
UCUCCGUUGGUGAACCAGCGGAGGGAUCAUUAUCGAGUUUAUGACUCCCAAACCCUAUGUGAACUUACCACUUGUUGCUUCGGCGCGCGCUUCGGCGCCGCCGAGGACACUUAAACUCUUUGUUUUUAUAAGCAUUACUGAGUGGCCGAAAGGCAAAAUACAAAUGAAUCAAAACUUUCAACAACGGAUCUCUUGGUUCUG